GACGAACGCUGGCGGCGUGCCUAAUACAUGCAAGUUGAGCGCUGAAGGUUGGUACUUGUACCAACUGGAUGAGCAGCGAACGGGUGAGUAACGCGUGGGGAAUCUGCCUUUGAGCGGGGGACAACAUUUGGAAACGAAUGCUAAUACCGCAUAAAAACUUUAAACACAAGUUUUAAGUUUGAAAGAUGCAAUUGCAUCACUCAAAGAUGAUCCCGCGUUGUAUUAGCUAGUUGGUGAGGUAAAGGCUCACCAAGGCGAUGAUACAUAGCCGACCUGAGAGGGUGAUCGGCCACAUUGGGACUGAGACACGGCCCAAACUCCUACGGGAGGCAGCAGUAGGGAAUCUUCGGCAAUGGACGAAAGUCUGACCGAGCAACGCCGCGUGAGUGAAGAAGGUUUUCGGAUCGUAAAACUCUGUUGGUAGAGAAGAACGUUGGUGAGAGUGGAAAGCACAUCAAGUGACGGGAACUACCCAGAAAGGGACGGCUAACUACGU
rnacentral:rRNA from 1 species